AGCUUUAAGAUUUUUAUUUAAGGUUAAAUCUGCCCGGUGAAUUUAUUUUUAACGGCCGCAGUACUUUGACUGUGCUAAGGUAGCAUAAUAAAUUGGCUUUUAAUUGGGGUCUUGUAUGAAUGAAUAUUUGGGGAAAAACUGUCUUGUAAAAACUAAAUAAAAUUUAAUUAAUAGGUGAAAAUGCCUAUAUAAUUACAUAAGACGAGAAGACCCUAAGAAUUAUAAUUAAUAUUAUUUUAAAUUAUGUUUUUGUUGGGGCAACAUUGUUGGAUAUAAAACCAACAAUUUCAUAAUGAAAUGUAUCAACUUUUGUAAAUAAAAAAUAAAUUACCUUAGGGAUAACAGCAAUAAUUAAAUUUUAGAUUGUGACCUCGAUGUUGGAUUAAGGACUUUUAUUAUUAGCCAUAAUUAAAGAUAGUUCUGUUCGAACAAUAUACCUU
rnacentral:rRNA from 1 species